GCGCCCGUAGCUCAACUGGCAGAGCAGCGGACUCUUAAUCCGUCGGUUCGGGGUUCGACUCCCUGCGGGCGCA
rnacentral:tRNA from 1 species